CCCUUAGAUGUUCUGGGCCGCACGCGUGCUACACUGAGUAAUUCAAUGGAUAAGGGAACGCUAGAGCAUUACCUAAUCUUGAAAUUUGCUCGUGAUGGGGAUCGACGGUUGCAAUUUUCCGUCGUGAACGAGGAAUACCUUGUAGGCGCAUGUCAUCAUCAUGCGCCGAAUACGUCCCUGCCCUUUGUACACACCGCCCGUCGCUCCUACCGAUUGAGUGAUCCGGUGAGGCUCUGGGACCUGGACGGAAAGAGCGUUUCGCUUGUUCUGUUUGGGAAACUUGGUCGAACCUUAUCAUUUAGAGGAAGGAGAAGUCGUAACA
rnacentral:rRNA from 1 species